GCUGGGCAUGGUGGUGCAUGCCUGUAAUCCCAGCUACUCGGGAGGCUGAGGCAGGAGAAUUGCUUGAACCAGGGAGUCGGAGGUUGCAGUGAGCUGAGAUCACGCCACUGCACUCCAGCCUGGUGACAGAGCGAGACUCUGUCUCAA
rnacentral:sRNA from 1 species